rnacentral:tRNA from 1 species
GUCAGGUUUACGUAGAGAUUUUUUUAACGUGGCAAAUAGGCUUCACGGACGCUGGCUUUCAGCUUCCCUGGUGGUCUAGUGGUUAGGAUUCGGCGCUCUCACCGCCGCGGCCCGGGUUCGAUUCCCGGUCAGGGAAAAGCUCUUUUGGCACUCUCACCGAAAAAUCUUGAGUUCUUACCUUUUUUUUGGGUACAGCAUCAGGUUAUUUCCCUGUUCUUCAAAGCACCUGCGGGUUGUUGGCACAGAAGAGAAUGUAAACAUUGGGUCCCACUUGCUGGAGCACUGAUUCGGAGGAGAUUCUGCUUUGAAGUGAGAACUGAAAGUCCAAGAGUAGAAAUGCUUCCCUAGAGAUUGAGUGCCCCGUAAAGAGGCAAGGUUUGCCGGCUUGACUUCUACUAGACGAGGACAAAGAAAGUCUGAAGGAGAAGAGUCAGUACAAGCCAGAGUCAAAGAAGCCAAAGAAGAAAAAGUCUAGAAAUUGCAGUGUACGUAUUAAUAGCAUAAAGGAUAUUUCUCGUUUGGUUAAUUUUUUAAUGGAGUUUUAUUUUAUUUAGUCUUGGUGUCAUCCUCAUUGUGUUUCACCUAUACUAUUGCUAUUUUUAGUCAAAUAAGUACACUUUUCCUAAAUAAUAUUGUCACUUAGACACAGCAGUACUGUAUCACAUUACCUACACACAGCGCAAAGUUGCC